UCAUAACACUAGGGGAGCCUUUUAAAGGCUGAGAUUGAACUUCGGUUCUAAACCCUUUGAACCUGAUCUGGGUCAUACCAGCGUAGGGAAGUGGAGGCUAUUCUUU
rnacentral:ncRNA from 2 species